rnacentral:rRNA from 1 species
AUACGUAGGGGGCGAGCGUUGUCCGGAAUGAUUGGGCGUAAAGGGCGCGUAGGCGGCGCGGUAAGUCUGGAGUGAAAGUCCUGCUUUCAAGGUGGGAAUUGCUUUGGAUACUGCCGCGCUUGAGUGCAGGAGAGGUUAUCGGAAUUCCCGGUGUAGCGGUGAAAUGCGUAUAGAUCGGGAGGAACACCAGUGGCGAAGGCGGGUAACUGGACUGCAACUGACGCUGAGGCGCGAAAGUGUGGGGAGCAAACAGGAUUAGAUACCCUGGUAGUCCACACUGUAAACGAUGAAUGCUAGGUGUAAGAGGUAUCGACCCCUUUUGUGCCGGAGUCAACACAAUAAGCAUUCCGCCUGGGGAGUACGGCCGCAAGGUUGAAACUCAAAGGAAUUGACGGGG